rnacentral:rRNA from 3 species
AAGACUAUGACGUUGAUAGGUCGGGUGUGUAAGCGCAGCGAUGCGUUGAGCUAACCGAUACUAAUGAACCGUGAGGCUUAACCUUACAACGCCGAAGGUGUUU